rnacentral:tRNA from 1 species
GCAUUGGUGGUUCAGUGGUAGAAUGCUCGCCUGCCACGCGGGGUUCGAUUCCCGGCCGAUGCA